UACGAAGGGGGCUAGCGUUGUUCGGAAUCACUGGGCGUAAAGCGCACGUAGGCGGAUUUGUCAGUCAGGGGUGAAAUCCCGGAGCUCAACUUCGGAACUGCCUCUGAUACAGCAAGUCUUGAGUUCGAGAGAGGUGGGUGGAAUUCCUAGUGUAGAGGUGAAAUUCGUAGAUAUUAGGAAGAACACCGGUGGCGAAGGCGGCCCACUGGCUCGAUACUGACGCUGAGGUGCGAAAGCGUGGGGAGCAAACAGGG
rnacentral:rRNA from 1 species